GCACAUGGAUGGAUUUGACGUAGGAUAUAAAAGCUUUCUGUCCAAGGUAUUUUCUUCUGUUCCAGCCGCUUUAACAUUCCCGCCUCUUCACUGGGCUCUAGAAACAGAACUGCUCGCCCGUUGCGUUCGUAGCGCGCAGUUCGACCUGCUCGGUGGAUAUAUGUGUCUGCGUCCUCUGGGCAGUCAACCUGAAUAACCCAGUCGACAGCCGGGAAAUCCAAGCCCCUCGCCGCAAUAUCCGUAG
rnacentral:sRNA from 1 species